rnacentral:rRNA from 1 species
CCUACGGGGGGCAGCAGUGGGGAAUUUUGCGCAAUGGGGGAAACCCUGACGCAGCAACGCCGCGUGAGUGAUGAAGGCCUUCGGGUUGUAAAGCUCUUUUAGUGGGGAAGAAGCCCUCCCUGGCUAAUAUCCAGGGGGUCUGACGGUACCCACAGAAAAAGUUCCGGCUAACUACGUGCCAGCAGCCGCGGUAAUACGUAGGGAGCGAGCGUUGUUCGGAAUUAUUGGGCGUAAAGAGCGCGUAGGCGGUUCGGUAAGUCUGACGUGAAAUCCCGGAGCU